UGGGGAAUAUUGCACAAUGGGCGAAAGCCUGAUGCAGCGACGCCGCGUGAGGGAUGACGGCUUCGGGUUGUAAACCUCUUUCAGCAGGGAAGAAGCGAAAGUGACGGUACCUGCAGAAGAAGCGCCGGCUAACUACGUG
rnacentral:rRNA from 1 species